rnacentral:sRNA from 1 species
GAAAUGAAACUGAAGUACUCCAUCAUCCAUUUU